GAUUAAUUCUACAAUGGCUGUCUGUAAAAGGACAUUUUUUUCUCUUACUAUCUAUUUUGGCCUUCAAACUUUAAUUUUUAUUUUCUCUGAAGAAUAAUUUUUGCUGCAUUUGAAGGAUCUGUGUAGAUGUAGGCUUGAAGGUUAAAAUUCUAGAGCUGCCACUGCCUAUCUGCCUCCUGCCGUGACCUCUUGAGUCUCCAGGGAGAUCUUAAAGGAUUUUUCACUCAAAAGCAAACUUCCUAUGGGACACCUGGGUGGCUCAUUGGUUGAACGUCUGCCUUUGGCUUAGGUCAUGAUCCUGGGGUCCUGGGAUGGAGUUCUACAUUGGGCUCCCUGCAGGGAGCCUGCUUCUCCC